rnacentral:lncRNA from 1 species
CUUCUACGGUCAGACUUUCGGACUAGACUAUCGGCUAACUUACCGAUUGAGCCCCGACCAAAGAAAGGCGAAAUGCCUACGCGACCGCCGUCGUGACUUACCGACCGAGCUACGAUCGGUCGAAGGAUAUUCGACUUACCACCGUCUAUCACACGAUGCGACCUCAGUCGCAUUCAUGACUCACCGACCGAGCUACGGCCGGCCGGAAGAUAUUCGGCUUACCACCGU